rnacentral:lncRNA from 13 species
GGACCUCACUCCUAGCUGUUCACACACCCUGCAGAGAGAGCAGGUGGGCCCUGGCUCGAUGGGCCUCUCUGCAAGUGACAUCUGAGGUCAUGGGGUCCCUGUUUACUGCCAGAGUCACCGCCCCAGGCCUGGGGUGACCAAGCUCUCUCUCCUCAUUCCUUCCCCUCCCUAUGCCCCCUGGGACCCUUCAUUACCCUCCUCUUGCCCAUCCUCCUCUACGUGCACAGGGUGAGAACAUCCUCCUGUGUGUUCACACACAUAUCUCCCUCCAUUCUCCCAGCCCUCCUGGAGGAUCGGCCCAAGCAGGGAUCAUCUGCCCACUUCACAGAUGGAUACACAGAGGCUUGUGGAGGCUAAAAGAUGUGUCCAAGGGCAUAAAGUUACAAGACAUAGGAGCCCAUUUGGGAAUAAAGGGUCUUGAAUUCUAGGGAGACAAGGAAGUAUUUAAACCUGGAAGAAUCACCUCUUUCCUCUGCAGUGAUUUGAACUGGCUGGAAUUAAAAUACCUUCCCAGCCUAAGGGCACUGCGGCUGUGUAUUUUUUAUUUUGCAAAUUACCACAAACUGGAGUAUUCAUGAGCAACCUUAAAGCCACCCUGGAUCCCCUUCAAGCUGCCUGCUGCGUGCUUCGCCAGAGCCUCUGUGUCCUGAGGCUCCACAGCCAUGAAUUAUUAAAGAGCAGGACAACUAUAAUUCACAUAAUGAGAUCAGAGGUUCCCAGUAACGACUUAAUUUCGAGCUGGUGCUGGAGGAGCUUGAAGGAAUUCUCAGGGAACAACUCGAGUGCCGGGGAAUUGCCUUGGAUGGGGUCCUAGGGCUGUGGGUCCUCUGCAAUGUCCAGACCCAGGGAGGGAGGGCAGUGUUACAUACAGUGAACUCCAAGUUUCUCUUCAAAGAUUCAGCAUGUCAGUAUGUUUGGUUCCUCGUCUUCCAUUUUAAAGUUUAACUUCCUUGUAUUUUCAGUUAACAACCCUUCCCACCAGUUCUAAUCAACAGUUCACAUCUGUUCCUCCCCAUCUUCUGCUCCAUCCUGACUCAUCCCGGUCACCUGCUUUGACCUAGGUCACCGCUGGCUACCUGCUCUGACCUGUCCCAUAACCGUCCUUCCUGCCAAACUACCCACCCACCACUCUGGCCCAUACUCCUGCUCCCCUUAAAGUAGCCAAUCAGAAUCAGCUUAGACUAUGUGGUCUAACCCUAGCCAAUAGGGGAACAACCACAGCAGUAGGGGCUACCGGCAUCAGGGAUAAGAACCCCUUCUUCUCCUUCCCUCCAGGUAUAUGCUCACCAUUGCUCCAUCUGUGAGAUGCACCCUUCUUUAGAAGUAAAUUGCCUUGCUGAGAAAAUUUAUAUUUGCUACUUCUUUUGCAGCACCAAAAACUUACAUAUAACAGCAGCGUGCUCAGCAAGUGGCAGGAGGGCUAGCCAGGCUAAAUAACUAAUGGCACAGACUUUCUUUUCUCCAGGUCUUUGUCCAGGCAGUGCCCACUUCUGGAAUGCCCUCCAUCUAUUCCUCUGCCUGCUAAAAUCCCAUCUAUCCUGUGAUGCUCCGUUAUAGGGUCACCUCCCCUGCAAAGACUUUCCUGUUCCCUCAGUCAUACAGGUGCUCCUGGCCUCAUCUCCAUUCCUCUUCCUCAGCCCCCAAAGCUGGGAGGAAUGCCAUUACCCAAGUACUGACACCCCCCCCCUUAACUCUGAACUUGGGCUUAUCUCACUGAGAUCUGCACCCUCAGGGCCUGGUGUGACUCUGCACUUAACACAUCUCCACACUCUUGUCCAGGGAGAACGGGAAGGGGCCCUGUCCUCAGGAGGGACAGCCUGGGCAGGGACAGAUGUGUGAAUAAACCAGAGAGAGGGUGGAGGGCA